GCGAACCGGGGGAACUGAAACAUCUAAGUACCCCGAGGAAAAGAAAUCAACCGAGAUUCCCCCAGUAGCGGCGAGCGAACGGGGAGGAGCCCAGAGCCUGAAUCAGCAUGUGUGUUAGUGGAAGCGUCUGGAAAGGCGCGCGAUACAGGGUGACAGCCCCGUACACAAAAGCGCAUGUGCUGUGAGCUCGAUGAGUAGGGCGGGACACGUGGUAUCCUGUCUGAAUAUGGGGGGACCAUCCUCCAAGGCUAAAUACUCCUGACUGACCGAUAGUGAACCAGUACCGUGAGGGAAAGGCGAAAAGAACCCCGGCGAGGGGAGUGAAAAAGAACCUGAAACCGUGUACGUACAAGCAGUGGGAGCNNGGGCGUUAAGUUGCAGGGUAUAGACCCGAAACCCGGUGAUCUAGCCAUGGGCAGGUUGAAGGUUGGGUAACACUAACUGGAGGACCGAACCGACUAAUGUUGAAAAAUUAGCGGAUGACCUGUGGCUGGGGGUGAAAGGCCAAUCAAACCGGGAGAUAGCUGGUUCUCCCCGAAAGCUAUUUAGGUAGCGCCUCGUGAAUUCAUCUCCGGGGGUAGAGCACUGUUUCGGCUAGGGGGCCAUCCCGGCUUACCAACCCGAUGCAAACUGCGAAUACCGGAGAAUGUUAUCACGGGAGACACACGGCGGGUGCUAACGUCCGUCGUGAAGAGGGAAACAACCCAGACCGCCAGCUAAGGUCCCAAAGUCAUGGUUAAGUGGGAAACGAUGUGGGAAGGCCCAGACAGCCAGGAUGUUGGCUUAGAAGCAGCCAUCAUUUAAAGAAAGCGUAAUAGCUCACUGGUCGAGUCGGCCUGCGCGGAAGAUGUAACGGGGCUAAACCAUGCACCGAAGCUGCGGCAGCGANNUGCUGGAGGUAUCAGAAGUGCGAAUGCUGACAUAAGUAACGAUAAAGCGGGUGAAAAGCCCGCUCGCCGGAAGACCAAGGGUUCCUGUCCAACGUUAAUCGGGGCAGGGUGAGUCGACCCCUAAGGCGAGGCCGAAAGGCGUAGUCGAUGGGAAACGGGUUAAUAUUCCCGUACUUGGUGUUACUGCGAAGGGGGGACGGAGAAGGCUAUGUUGGCCGGGCGACGGUUGUCCCGGUUUAAGCGUGUAGGUGUGUGUUCCAGGUAAAUCCGGUUCACUUUAACACUGAGGCGUGACGACGAGGCACUACGGUGCUGAAGCAACAAAUGCCCUGCUUCCAGGAAAAGCCUCUAAGCAUCAGGUAACAUCAAAUCGUACCCCAAACCGACACAGGUGGUCAGGUAGAGAAUACCAAGGCGCUUGAGAGAACUCGGGUGAAGGAACUAGGCAAAAUGGUGCCGUAACUUCGGGAGAAGGCACGCUGACAUGUAGGUGAAGUGAUUUACUCAUGGAGCUGAAGUCAGUCGAAGAUACCAGCUGGCUGCAACUGUUUAUUAAAAACACAGCACUGUGCAAACACGAAAGUGGACGUAUACGGUGUGACGCCUGCCCGGUGCCGGAAGGUUAAUUGAUGGGGUCAGCGCAAGCGAAGCUCCUGAUCGAAGCCCCGGUAAACGGCGGCCGUAACUAUAACGGUCCUAAGGUAGCGAAAUUCCUUGUCGGGUAAGUUCCGACCUGCACGAAUGGCGUAAUGAUGGCCAGGCUGUCUCCACCCGAGACUCAGUGAAAUUGAACUCGCUGUGAAGAUGCAGUGUACCCGCGGCAAGACGGAAAGACCCCGUGAACCUUUACUAUAGCUUGACACUGAACAUUGAGCCUUGAUGUGUAGGAUAGGUGGGAGGCUUUGAAGUGUGGACGCCAGUCUGCAUGGAGCCGACCUUGAAAUACCACCCUUUAAUGUUUGAUGUUCUAACGUGGACCCGUUAUCCGGGUUGCGGACAGUGUCUGGUGGGUAGUUUGACUGGGGCGGUCUCCUCCUAAAGAGUAACGGAGGAGCACGAAGGUUGGCUAAUCCUGGUCGGACAUCAGGAGGUUAGUGCAAUGGCAUAAGCCAGCUUGACUGCGAGCGUGACGGCGCGAGCAGGUGCGAAAGCAGGUCAUAGUGAUCCGGUGGUUCUGAAUGGAAGGGCCAUCGCUCAACGGAUAAAAGGUACUCCGGGGAUAACAGGCUGAUACCGCCCAAGAGUUCAUAUCGACGGCGGUGUUUGGCACCUCGAUGUCGGCUCAUCACAUCCUGGGGCUGAAGUAGGUCCCAAGGGUAUGGCUGUUCGCCAUUUAAAGUGGUACGCGAGCUGGGUUUAGAACGUCGUGAGACAGUUCGGUCCCUAUCUGCCGUGGGCGCUGGAGAACUGAGGGGGGCUGCUCCUAGUACGAGAGGACCGGAGUGGACGCAUCACUGGUGUUCGGGUUGUCAUGCCAAUGGCACUGCCCGGUAGCUAAAUGCGGAAGAGGUAAGGGCUGAAAGCAUCUAAGCCCGAAACUUGCCCCGGGAUGAGUUUGCCCUGAGAACUAGAGCCUCCUGAAGGAACGAUGAAAGCGAC
rnacentral:rRNA from 1 species